CAAUAGCGUAUAUUAAAGUUGUUGCAGUUAAAAGCUCGUAGUUGGAUUUCUGGUGGGCGCGACCGGUCCGCCCCGAAAGGGGUGAGCACUGGCGUCGCCGUCCGCCAUCCUUGGGGAGAGGGGUUUUGGCAUUCAUUUGUCGAGGCUCGGAUCCCCAUCGUUUACUGUGAGAAAAUUAGAGUGUUCAAAGCAGGCUUACGCCUUGGAUAUGUUAGCAUGGAAUAAUAAGAUAAGACUUUGGCGGUCUAUUUUGUUGGUUUGCACGCCAUUGUAAUGAUUGAUAGGGACAGUUGGGGGUAUUCAUAUUUAAUUGUCAGAGGUGAAAUUCUUGGAUUUAUGAAAGAUGAACUACUGCGAAAGCAUUUACCAAGGAUGUUUUCAUUAAUCAAGAACGAAAGUUAGGGGAUCGAAGACGAUUAGAUACCAU
rnacentral:rRNA from 1 species